GUAACGCGUAGAUAACCUGUCUUCAUGUCUGGAAGUAAUACGGCCGAAAGGGGUACUAAUACCGGAUAUCUUGCUUUUCAUAAGUUAUGCAAGCAAAGGUGGCCUCUGCAUAUGCUACUGCAGUGAAGAGGGGUCUGCGUACCAUUAGCUAGUAGGUGGGGUAAUGGCCUACCUAGGCGACGAUGGUUAGCGGGUCUGAGAGGAUGAUCCGCCACACUGGCACUGGAACACGGGCCAGACUCCUACGGGAGGCAGCAGUGAGGAAUAUUGCGCAAUGGGGGAAACCCUGACGCAGCGACGCCGCGUGAGUGAGGAAAAGGCCUUCGGGUCGUAAAGCUCUGUCAAGAGGAAAGAAGUGUACAAUGGCUAAUACCUGUUGUAUUUGGCGGUACCUCUAAAGGAAGCACCGGCUAACUCCGUGCCAGCAGCAGC
rnacentral:rRNA from 1 species